GUGCCAGCAGCCGCGGUAAUACCGGCAGCCCGAGUGAUGGCCGAUCUUAUUGGGCCUAAAGCGUCCGUAGCUGGCCUCGCAAGUCCGUCGGGAAAUCCAGUAGCCCAACUACUGGGCGUCCGGCGGAAACUACAAGGCUUGGGACCGGAAGGCUCGAGGGGUACGUCCGGGGUAGGAGUGAAAUCCCAUAAUCCCGCACGGACCACCGAUGGCGAAAGCACUUCGAGAAAACGGAUCCGACAGUGAGGGACGAAAGCCAGGGUCUCCAACCGGAUUAGAUACCCUGGUGUCC
rnacentral:rRNA from 1 species